CCACCACGGGGCCAAUCCUAGGGUCUAGCUGAUAGGGGUUCAAUUCCCGCCCUUUCCCCACCCCUUCACUCCUGACCGGAAGGGCCUGAGAAGGACUGCUGCGUGGCUGAAGGAGUGAACACCAGAGAAGGUUAGAAGUCACAGUUCACAAGAAUCGAAGCCAUUCCUUGAUCAACGAGAUGCAGCCAGAGAUGCAGCAAGAGAGAAGAGAAAGGAGAUGGGAAACCAACAGAUUUGCCUUCCACGGCACUGCCUGCCGGAAACGGAGCCUCCGACAAAGCCAGACGAGAAAACACUGAAGUCACGUGGCACCUGCCUGUUUUAUCUGCAAGAGGAGGAAACUGUGUUAAUAAAUGCCUG